rnacentral:rRNA from 1 species
UGCGAGUCAAUGGGCGCACUAAACCCAAAGGCGAAAUGAAAGUGACACAAUACUUGAGAAGAGUGUAUUAUUUUUAAUAAUAUGCUCUUUUUGGGCUGAUCCUCGACCGGCUGUCGGCAGAUAGGUUUCAGUGCGGGAGAAGUGGGUGGGUGAGACCCUUUCCCUACCUAACCUCUCGUCUGUCCUUUUUGUUUUGUACGAAGGUCUUUGCUCCUUCGGGAGGGGGCGCAAGCCCGGGACUUGCCAUAUGACGCGCUGGCAUUUCAACUCUGCAUAUUUAAUUAUAUUCUCCCCUCCCCUCUUCUGGGGGGUUGUGGGAUGUUUUAUAUUUUGAAUAAUCUUGCUGAUUAAAGGUUGUAUGCGGUUGUAGUCGGCAAGUACCUUGAGCAUACAUGUUGGGACCCGAAAGAUGGUGAACUAUGCCUGGCCAGGAUGAAGCCAGAGGAAACUCUGGUGGAGGUCCGUAGCGAUUCUGACGUGCAAAUCGAUCGUCGGAGCUGGGUAUAGGGGCGAAAGACUAAUCGAACCAUCUAGUAGCUGGUUCCCUCCGAAGUUUCCCUCAGGAUAGCUGGAGCUCCUUGAACGAAUUUCAUCCGGUAAAGCGAAUGAUUAGAGGUCUUGGGGAUGAAACGUUCUCAACCUAUUCUCAAACUUUAAAUGGGUGAGAUGCCAAGCUUGCUUAAAUAGUGAAGCUUUGGCGAUUAAUCAGAGAGUAUCUAGUGGACCACUUUU